UACCGCCUGUCCUGCCCCCUGCUCCCCCUCCCCCAUCCCCACCAUCUGCUCUCCAGAAAGCAGAUCAAAUUUUCAGGCUAAGGUACUCUGGCGCCAAAGACUCAGCCCCUCCAUGCUUCCCCCUGCCCCCCACCAACUCCGAAAUCCAACACCACGACCCAAAUGGACUGCAGCCACAUAAAACCACAAAGUAAAGUUUAUAAAGCUUUAUUAAACAUUUCAAACAGCUGUGCAACGAACACACCAAAUAAAAGCUCUAGAAUAGCAGUCCAAACGUUUCACAAGUAUGGCCUCACAGUCCCAUUCCCUAGAUGGACUGCCUCCAGUUCUGUUCUCUGCCUGGCCCAUGUCUCUUUCCCCUCAGGCAAGAGAGAGAUGGAUGGAUCAGACUGAAAGGACAGGCAUGCUGAUCUCCAGCAGGCAGGGGCCAGGAGAAAGUCUCGUUUGCCAACACUUGUUACUGAAGCGCAGAAAAAGCAGCAAGUGACAGUCACAAAGUCUUCCUGGGUAUUCUUCAUAACGUACAGUCUAUAUGCGCAGGAACGAAGAAGCUCCUGGCGGGAGGAUGAUGGCCACUGCUCCCCUCUGUCUUGUCUGAACCACCUCGGAGUCCAGUGUGCUGGUCACUCUGCAAUCCCCAUGCUAAAUAAAAACUGUAGCGGCACCUACCAUAUAUAGCUAGCUAUUGCUAAACCUCAAAAUCAGAACACGUUCGAUAAAGCUUCUUUAAAAGGAAUAUACACAUGUAUUUGUACACACACACGCACAGGGCACACCAAAAAAUAUCCAAACAUCUAUCAAGGGGAUCAUGGCCGUUACGAAACACACAGGUACUCUCCCACUCACUCAGCUGGGGACUGCUAGAACUACGUGAACACACCAUACUUCAAUGCUGCAGAGCAUGCACGGGAGACACAAUGAGGCCCCCUCCUUGGGACAGCUGAGAAAGGCAGGAGGAAGGGCAAAGGAAGUGAGGCUGGGCGGGAAAGCUUGAGCCCAGACACCCAGGUGAAAGAGCAACAUCUAUCUGUUGCUUCCUUUCUUAAAAAUGAAGUGGAGAAAAUACUGAAGAUUUGUGGACAACUAACAGUCAAGACAUGUUUCUGUCUAGCCUGCUGAACAAGGAAAGAAGGAUGAAAAAGCGAGGCUCUCGGGCGUCAGCAAUCUCUUCAAAUUCGAGAUAAGUGCAAAAAUGAGCCCUGUCUUGGACAGGUACUCCCCAAAAAAGGAAAAGGGUAGAAGAGAAAUAAAGGGAAACCGGAAGAGGGACUGAGGAGUCAGUAACAUUCUGGGAAGGAAGGAGACCCUGACAAGGAGGGGUCACAGAGGUGACAAUGAGACUGGCAUUUUAUCUGCCCCAGGUCACAUUGGGGCAGCUGACCAGGAUGGACCCAGACUCCUCACAGUAAUGAGGCGAGAGGGGUGGUCAUGCGGCCAGCCAGGACCUAGAUGGGGACAGAACACACACAACCACAAGACCACCCACGACUAUAGGACUUUACAAUAAAAGCACCGGUCAGUGCCAUUAUUCACAUUGUAAGGAUAAAACAUCACAGGCCAAAAAGGCGCCGUCAGGAAUGUGACACCCGCGAGGCUGCGGGAUUUGAAACUCCAAUGCUUUAUGACCUAUGUCAAUGCCUCCCCUCCCGUCUUCUGCUUCCUUGGAAAGCUAACAGGGCAGGCCGUUAGGUGCCCACAACGCCGGGAUCAUGCGCCGAUUCUGGAAGCGGGGAAUCGGAGCAGUGGUACAGGAAACAGUUUCCCCAGCAGCUAUAGCAGAUAAGGAACAGGGCUGCCAGGAAAACCAAGGCACAAAUUGUGCAAGGCUUCCGUUCCAGGAGGAAGCUGAGCAGGGCCUUCACCAAGGCGCCGGGCACCGCUGCAGGAACCGACCUAAUGGGAGCCAGCGGGCGCAGGCGGCUGCCCUCCGCUUUCUUCAACCCUCACUCUCCAGGAGCUGAGCCGCUGUGCUCUCUGGCUGUCAGCCCGGGAUCACCAAGGCAGCAGGGAUCCUGAA
rnacentral:lncRNA from 1 species